GCGCGUGUAGCUCAAUUGGGAGAGCGGUCGCAAAGCUCGCGACAGGUUGUGGGUUCGAACCCCAUCACGUGCU
rnacentral:tRNA from 1 species